UCUAAAUCGUCGCUUCGGUCUUGCCGGCCGGUAACAGGGAUAGGAAUAGGGGUGAUUACCCGCAUAGGUAAAGUUGGUUCAUCAAGUGCCGAGAGUGCAUUUUCUUUUCGAUCGCACAAGGGGGUUUAGUUGGGGCCGAGCAUUUCCUGUCCAAGUGGGCAGGCUUCACUCGCCGCUGGCCUCCUCGAAUCUUCCUCCCGGCAGGCAGAAGGGGGCCUUUUCUCUUCACCUGUGCAGUUUCGGAA
rnacentral:lncRNA from 1 species